GGGCCUAUAGCUCAGCUGGUCAGAGCGCACGCCUGAUAAGCGUGAGGUCGGUGGUUCGAACCCACCUAGGCCCA
rnacentral:tRNA from 1 species